rfam:Brassica napus, WGS project CCCW01000000 data, contig: 15763
UAGAUAUAGAAGGAGAUUCUUUCAGUCCAAUCAUGGAUAGAACAAGAAGAGAGUAGAAAUAUCUGCCGACUCAUCCAUCCAAACACCGGUGGUAAAAAAGACAAGAAAUUUUAGGCCACAGUGACUGUGUGAAUGAUGCGGGAGAUGUUUUUCAUCCUUCUUUAUCUGUGUUUGGACUGAAGGGAGCUCCUUCUUUCUCUACA